rnacentral:rRNA from 1 species
AUGUAAUAAUCGGAGAUCGUGCACUGAAUUCAUAGGUGCAUGAAGAAGACCUGGUGAAGUGAAACAUCUCAGUAGCCAGAGGAAAAGAAGACAAUCAAAAGACCACUAAAUUCUUUGCACGAAUUUUUCCCGAUGUAAAUCGGGAUUGAUUCGUGAUAAAGAUUGGUGGUUGUGAUUCCCUUAGUAGUGGCGAGCGAACGGGGAAGAGCCUAAACCUAUAGUGUAUUGUAGCAGAUGCAGAUAAGUUUCGACUUAUUGAGAUCUGUUACUCAAAGGACAGGCCGUUGCACUAUAGGUGUUGUAGGGUACAACAUCGACUACCUGUUAUGUCGGUCUUUGUAUGAAUCUUGUAUAGUCGAAGAAGCCUGGAAAGGCACAUCAUAGAAGGUGAUAAUCCUGUAGACAAAAUACGUUUCAUACCAAGAGGUUGUAUCCCUGAGUAGGGCGGAACACGUGAAAUUCCGUCUGAAUCAGCCGCGACUAUGCGGUAAGGCUAAAUACAUUUCGUGAUCGAUAGUGAACAAGUACCAUGAGGGAAAGGUGAAAAGCAGCCCGGUGAGGGCGAUGAAAUAGUAUCUGAAACCGUAUGCUUACAAUGAGCUGGAGCCCGGCCCCGCAAGGGGUUUAGGGUGACAGUGUUCCUAUUGAAGAAUGAGCCUGCGAGUAUGCUGUAUGUUGCAAGCUUAACUCCGUCUCGGAGGUAGGCGUAGGGAAACCGAGUCUUAACGGGCGUUUAAGUAGCAUACACAUAACCCGAAACCGGGUGAGCAAUCCAUGACCAGGUUGAACCCCGACGAAAGUCGGGGGGAGGACCGAACCCACGCGCUGUGCAACACGCGGGGAUGAGUUGUGGAUAGCGGAGAAAUUCUAAUCGAACUCGGUAAUAGCUGGUUCUCCUCGAAAUAGCUUUAGGGCUAGCUGUAUAUGUUCCCUCUGGGGGUAGAGCACUGGAUGAGGUCGAGGUCCUUCGGGAUACUCACUUCAAUCAAACUCCGAAUACCAGAGAUUAAUAAUAUGCAAGUCAGACAGUGGGGGCUAAGCUUCAUUGUCAAAAGGGAAACAGCCCAGAUCGCAAACUAAGGUCCCAAAGUCAUCACUAAGUGUAAAAGGUGGUGUUAAUUCUCAUACAACCAGGAGGUUGGCUUAGAAGCAGCCAUCCUUUAAAGAUAGCGUAAUAGCUCACUGGUCAAGAGUUUUCGCGCCGAAAAUGUACCGGGGCUAAGUGAUGCACCGAAGUUGCGAACCCCGCCGUAUGGCGGGGUGGUAGAGGAGCAUUCUUAUCGCAGUGAAGUCGGACUCGCGAGAGCCGGUGGAGCGAUGAGAAGAGAGAAUGCAGGCACAAGUAGCAAGAAUCCGGAUGAAAGUUCCGGACGCCGAAAACCUAAGGUUUCCAGGGCAACGUGAAUCGUCCCUGGGUUAGUCGGUCCUAAGGGGAGUCCGUCAUCUGGCGGGGUACCCGAUGGAAAAGCGGGCUAAUAUUCCCGCACUUGGUAUCGUUUGUUAUACAAUCCGUAUUUCAAAGGCAAGAGCGUUGUAUGGCUACACGUUUCGCAAGAUAGAGACUGCGUCUUCGGAUAAUGUCAAUUUUUGUUGGAGAAGUACCAAGAAAAGUUUUAUAACGUUCGGCGAUAUCAAACCGUACCGGAAACCGACACAGGUGGGUAGGUCGAGAAGACUAAGGCGCACGAGAGAAACAUGGUUAAGGAACUCGGCAAAACAGCGGCCGUAACUUCGGGAUAAGGCCUCCCCGAUGUCGUCGCAAGACGACUCAUCGGGGCGCAGCGAAAGACUCCAUGCAACUGUUUACCAAAAACACAGCUCCCUGCGAAAGCGUAAGCUGAAGUAUAGGGGGCGAUGCCUGGCCAGUGUCAGAACGUUAAGGGGAGAGGUUACCCGGCCCGCAAGGGCCAGGGGAAGCUUUGAACUGAAGCGCUGAUGAACGCCGGCGGUAACUAUAACCGUCCUAAGGUUGGAUGCACUACCUACAUAUUAGGUAGCGUAUCCAUGGACUGGGACGGUUAUUGAAGAGAUUAUGGAGUAGCAGAGUUCCAAAAAAAGCUGCCUUAAUUUACAGUAAUGUAAAUAAAGUCCAAUCAUGGCUAUAUGCUGGGAAUUCAAUGACAGUGAAUAAUCAGCAGGGAAGUCCGUCAUUUGGCGGAUCCCUCAGAGACCACACGCCGUGCUCCCGAUGUAUCGGGAUGAAGAUAUGGUCCUUCGCAAAAGGAAGCGAAAAGCGAAAUUCCUUGUCGGGUGAACACGUUUCUGUGCGGAAACUAUAAACUCGCCCGAAAUCAUGGUAACAUGAUAAUAAGCAUACCGGCUCAUAACGGUGAAGCCCUCCUCCCGGUUUAAUCGGGACGGGUAAUACCGUGGGAAGUCUCCCUCCUUAAAAAUAAGGAUUGGAGACCCCGUAACGACUGACCCGAAAGGGGAGGACCGAUGUCAAUCGGUCAACACGCCGGCUCUUAUUUUCAAGAGCACUCUAUGGAGGUAGGAUCCUAUAUAACAGGAUUUGUGGAUGGAGAAGGAAGUUUCCUUGUUUCAUUUUCAAGACGUUCAGCUAUGGUAUGUGGUAUUGAAGUUCGACCUUCAUUUACCGUAAGUCAGCAUGAACGCAGUAAAGAUAUUUUGAGUAUUCUGCAAAAUUUUUUUGGGUGUGGUUCUGUUCGUUUUAAUAGACGAGAUAGAACUUGGAAAUAUGAAGUAAGAAGUUUGGAUAAUCUUAUAAAAAGAAUUAUUCCACAUUUUACGGCAUAUCCACUCCAGACAUCCAAACGCAGUGAUUUUGAACAGUUUACUCAAGUCUGUCUUUGGAUGGAACAAAAGAAACAUCUUCGACCAGAGGGGCUAAAACAAAUUAUCAGGAGCGCGUAUAGAAUGAAUAAUUUUGGCGCUCGUCGUUAUGUAA